AGGAAUUAUAACUUAAUAGGUAGUCUAAUCAUCAAGAAUUGAUUAGAUCUGAUUUAAUUACUACAGGUAAUCACCUAUAAGUAAAGUCCUAAAAAACAUGUCUUGCCUAAGAGGAAAUAAAUCAGAUGCAAGCAUCAGCUCAUCCUAGUCACUGGUAGGCAGCCAGCAAGAGUUAAUAAAUGCCAGGAUGAGCAUGUAAGUAUAAACUGGUAAUGGGGAGGCAGGCAAAUGAAAGAGCAAGGGCCGCAACCUGAAGACUUUUUUUUAACCUCAUAACUUUGCCUAGAAUCAGCUCAAUUGCCAGGCUCUAGAUCUGUUCUCCACCUGGGACAAAGGUGAAAAGCUUUACUCUCUGAGGGCAACAUGCUUGUUUGGGAAAGAACUUGAAGUAGUCUACUACACAGUACUCCUGGUUUCUACAAAGACCAUCAAGGACCCCUCUUGGUAUUUGCCUCCUCCUGCUGAAGAUUUUCUCCCCUAAAACAAGCAUGCAGCACAGUCAGAUAAGACUUUGAGGUGAGGUAACUGUGUAACUAAACCGGAAUCAACAGUCAUGGGUUAGUUUGCUCAGCCUAUCUUAUCUAUACAAGGUUAUUUUGGGGGCAAAUUUGAACUUUCUUUGAUUCAUAAAGUGAAAAUGCCAUUUUUUUUCCUUUGUAAAUUUAUUUUAAAUAAGUAAUUCUGAAUGCAGAAUUUGUGGGCUGUUAAAAUUUCAAUUGGAUUGGAAAGAUGAGAGGUAAAUCAAAACUUUCUUGAAUUCCUAUUAAUAUAUA
rnacentral:lncRNA from 1 species